rnacentral:rRNA from 1 species
CAGUCGCCGCGGUAACACGUAGGGUGCGAGCGUUAAUCGGAAUUACUGGGCGUAAAGCGUGCGUAGGCGGUUUGUUAAGUCUGUUGUGAAAUCCCCGGGCUCAACCUGGGAAUGGCAAUGGAUACUGGCAAGCUAGAGUGUGUCAGAGGAUGGUGGAAUUCCCGGUGUAGCGGUGAAAUGCGUAGAGAUCGGGAGGAACAUCAGUGGCGAAGGCGGCCAUCUGGGACAACACUGACGCUGAGGCACGAAAGCGUGGGGAACAAACAGGAUUAGAGACCCCCGUAGUCCCUGUCUCUUAUAC